GGGACAUAGCUCAGUGGUAGAGCAUCAGCCCCACAUGCAGAAGGUCUCAGGUUCAAUCCCUGGCAUUUCCA